GAUGAACGUUGGCGGUGCGCCUAAUACAUGCAAGUCGAACGGAGACUGUAGCAAUACUGUCUUAGUGGCGAACGGGUGAGUAACGCGUUGGUGAUCUGCCUCGAAGUGUGGAAUAACGUUCCGAAAGGAGCACUAAUACCGCAUGGUCUUCUGGUUUUUAGAACGCCAGAUGUAAAGGAUUUAUUCGCUUCGAGAGGAGCCUGCGUCCCAUCAGCUAGUUGGUAAGGUAAUGGCUUACCAAGGCGAUGACGGGUAGGGGACCUGAGAGGGUGGCCCCCCACAAUGGAACUGAAACACGGUCCAUACACCUACGGGUGGCAGCAGUAGGGAAUAUUAGUAAUGGGCGAAAGCCUGAACUAGCGACACCGCGUGUGCGAAGAAGGCCUUGGGUUGUAAAGCACUUUUAGAGAGGAUGAAGGAAGGACGGUACUCUCUGAAUAAGUCUCGGCUAACUACGUGCCAGCAGCCCGGGUAAUAGUGUGUGUA
rnacentral:rRNA from 1 species